GACGAUCAGAUCUAAUUGAAACAUCCAGUUCUCGUACGAUCACAGAAGUUAAGUAACAACGUCGUGUCUGUUCAGUAGCUAGAUGGGCGACCGCGUGGGAAUACCAGUUGCUGUAC